CCGGGGGUAGGGAGGUAAGUAGUCUGGGAAACAGCCGUCGAGUGGAGGGGGAGGAAUACUGGAAACGGUAGCUAAUACCGCAUAACGUCGCAAGACCAAAGAGGGGGACCUUCGGGCCUCUUGCCAUCGGAUGUGCCCAGAUGGGAUUAGCUAGUAGGUGGGGUAACGGCUCACCUAGGCGACGAUCCCUAGCUGGUCUGAGAGGAUGGCCAGCCACACUGGAACUGAGACACGGUCCAG
rnacentral:rRNA from 1 species